AGUAAUACAUAAGUAACCUGCCCUAGACAGGGGGAUAACUAUUGGAAACGAUAGCUAAGACCGCAUAGGUACGGACACUGCAUGGUGACCGUAUUAAAAGUGCCUCGAAGCACUGGUAGAGGAUGGACUUAUGGCGCAUUAGCUGGUUGGCGGGGUAACGGCCCACCAAGGCGACGAUGCGUAGCCGACCUGAGAGGGUGACCGGCCACACUGGGACUGAGACACGGCCCAG
rnacentral:rRNA from 1 species